UACGCAGGGUGCGAGCGUUGUCCGGAAUUAUUGGGCGGAAAGAGCUUGUAGGUGGCUCGUUGCGUCGGGAGUGAAAACCUGCGGCUUAACCGCAGGCCUGCUUCCGAUACGGGCGAGCUAGAGUUCGGCAGGGGAGACUGGAAUUCCUGGUGUAGCGGUGGAAUGCGCAGAUAUCAGGAGGAACACCGGUGGCGAAGGCGGGUCUCUGGGCCGAUACUGACACUGAGAAGCGAAAGCGUGGGGAGCGAACAGG
rnacentral:rRNA from 1 species